rnacentral:rRNA from 1 species
UACGUAGGUGGCAAGCGUUGUCCGGAAUUAUUGGGCGUAAAGCGCGCGCAGGCGGUCCUUUAAGUCUGAUGUGAAAGCCCACGGCUCAACCGUGGAGGGUCAUUGGAAACUGGGGGACUGAGUGCAGGAGAGAAGAGUGGAAUUCCACGUGUAGCGGUGAAAUGCGUAGAGAAUGUGGAGGAACACCAGUGGCGAAGGCGACGUCUUUGGCCUGUAACUGACGC